rnacentral:rRNA from 1 species
CAGUCAUACCAACGGGAAAUCAACCUUUUGAGCUUGGUCUCGUGGGUUUUGAAGAGUUUCAAAGCCUUCGGAUUCGCGGGAUUGGGAUCUCUCGGUGUACUUUUUCGUACGGUUAGUCAACAUCGGUUUUGAAUGUCAUAAAAUGAUUGGGGGAAUGUAGCUUCGAUCUCGUAUUGAAGUGUUAUAGCCUUUGGUAGAUGUGAUGUUUGAGACCCGAGGAUUGCAACGGACUACCCUUCAGGGCUAUUCGUCUGAUCUCUGAUACG